AUGGGAACGCGAAGAACCUUACCUAGACUUGACAUCUCCUGAAUAGUGUAGAGAUACAUGAAGCCCUUCGGGGCAGGAAGACAGGUGGUGCAUGGUUGUCGUCAGCUCGUGUCGUGAGAUGUUGGGUUAAGUCCCGCAACGAGCGCAACCCUUAUUACUAGUUGCUACCAUUAAGUUGAGCACUCUAGUGAGACUGCCCGGGUUAACCGGGAGGAAGGCGGGGAUGACGUCAAAUCAUCAUGCCCCUUAUGUCUAGGGCAACACACGCGCUACAAUGGUGAGUACAGAUAGAUGCGAUACCGCAAGGUGGAGCCAAAACUCUAAAACUCAUCCCAGUUCGGAUUGUAGGCUGCAACUCGCCUACAUGAAGUUGGAGUUGCUAGUAAUCGCGAAUCAGAAUGUCGCGGUGAAUACGUUCCCGGGUCUUGUACACACCG
rnacentral:rRNA from 1 species